AAACAACUCUUACACGUUGUUUUAAAGCUCGUCUGCUGUAUUUACUAUGAAAAGAGCCGUCGGUGCUGCAGCCAGGUCAACCAAUAAUGCCAAAGUAGAUGGCCAUCCAGAUGUUAAAGUCAAACCCUACUCAGGAGGUACUUAUGAAGACGAGGAAUGAUACAAUGCAAAGCAGAACAAAGCAGCACCAGAAAGCCUGCAGCAUACACAGUAGCAGGCUCACAUAAGACCCCAUGCUUGGGUCAAGCUUUCUCGAUACACCUGAUUGACUUCACAAACAAGGCUGAAAUGACCAGCGAAGCUCUGAGCCCACAUGAGACCUGUCCACACCUUUAAUGAAUGGGAGCCUAGCAGCGGGGAGUGCUCAGGAAUAGCCUCAGGGGAUCUCAGGUAAGAUGAAUUACUUUGUUUUGUUACUGCGCUAUCAUGUGAGCUGCUGAUUAAUGUGAGCGACCAUUCAUAUGUGGAACAGUGAUACACACGAGACAUUACAAAGUAAAGAAUCAAUUAGAUGCUUUGGAAAUGCUCAAAUGAAGCGGUCCUUUUCUGACAGUACAGAUUGUCUCAUUGAAUGCCCCUGCU